ensembl:snRNA U6 U6 spliceosomal RNA
GUGCUCACCUCAGCAGCACAUACACUAAAAUUAGAAUGAUAUAGGGAAAUUGGCAUGGCCCCUGCAAAGGAUGGCAUGUAAAUGAAGCAUUUUAUAUUUUU